UCUCCGGAUCUCUGAAACUGUCUAGUACAUUAGUGGGGAGGGGGUGGGGAGACAUAACCACUGUUUCCUUUUAAUCAGGUGUGUUUGUCCAAUAGGCAUAGCUAUCUGGACAGAGCAUAGUAUUUGUGAAGGGAGGGGGAGAGCUUUUUCUUUGAGGUAGCUGAGUUCUGGGGUGGGGGGAUGGGUUACUUACUCUGGGAUUAGGUUAGGAUUUCCUCUCUUGGUGGGAAGUUCC